rnacentral:rRNA from 1 species
AUUGAACGCUGGCGGCGGGCCUAACACAUGCAAGUCGAGCGGAUGAAGGGAGCUUGCUCCUGGAUUCAGCGGCGGACGGGUGAGUAAUGCCUAGGAAUCUGCCUGGUAGUGGGGGAUAACGUCCGGAAACGGGCGCUAAUACCGCAUACGUCCUGAGGGAGAAAGUGGGGGAUCUUCGGACCUCACGCUAUCAGAUGAGCCUAGGUCGGAUUAGCUAGUUGGUGGGGUAAAGGCCUACCAAGGCGACGAUCCGUAACUGGUCUGAGAGGAUGAUCAGUCACACUGGAACUGAGACACGGUCCAGACUCCUACGGGAGGGAGCAGUGGGGAAUAUUGGACAAUGGGCGAAAGCCUGAUCCAGCCAUGCCGCGUGUGUGAAGAAGGUCUUCGGAUUGUAAAGCACUUUAAGUUGGGAGGAAGGGCAGUAAGUUAAUACCUUGCUGUUUUGACGUUACCAACAGAAUAAGCACCGGCUAACCUCGUG